AGCGAACGCUGGCGGCAGGCUUAACACAUGCAAGUCGAGCGCCCCGCAAGGGGAGCGGCAGACGGGAGAGUAACACGUGGGAACGUACCCUUUAGUUCGGAACAACCCAGGGAAACUUGGGCUAAUACCGGGUACGUCCGAAAGGAGAAAGAUUUAUCGCUAAAGGAUCGGCCCGCGUCUGAUUAGCUAGUUGGUGAGGUAAUGGCUCACCAAGGCGACGAUCAGUAGCUGGUCUGAGAGGAUGAUCAGCCUCACUGGGACUGAGACACGGCCCAGACUCCUACGGGAGGCAGCAGUGGGGAAUAUUGGACAAUGGGCGCAAGCCUGAUCCAGCCAUGCCGCGUGGGUGAUGAAGGCCCUAGGGUUGUAAAGCCCUUUCGGCGGGGAAGAUAAUGACGGUACCCGCAGAAGAAGCCCCGGCUAACUUCGUGCCAGCAGCCGCCGUAAAAC
rnacentral:rRNA from 1 species